rnacentral:rRNA from 1 species
AACGAACGCUGGCGGCAUGCCUAACACAUGCAAGUCGAACGAGACCUUCGGGUCUAGUUGCGCACGGGUGCGUAACGCGUGGGAUCCUGCCCUUAGGUUCGGACUAACUCCCCGAAAGGGGUGCUAAUACCGGCUAAUGUCUUCGGACCAAAGAUUUAUCGCCUUUGGAUGGGCCCGCGUUGGAUUAGCUAGUUGGUAGGGUAACAGCCUUCCAAGGCGACGAUCAAUAGCUGGUCUGUGAGGAUGAUCCGCGACCCUCGGACUGCGACACAGCCCAGACUCCUACGCGAAGCAGCAGUGGGUAAUAGUGGUAAAGGGGCGAGAGACUGUGCCAGGAAAGCUUCGUGAGUUAUGAAGGCCUUAGAGUUGGAAAGCGCACUUAUCCGGCAGGAGAAUGACAGUACUUGGUGAAUAAGCUCCGGCUAACUCCGUG